UACGUAGGGGGCAAGCGUUGUCCGGAAUCAUUGGGCGUAAAGAGCGUGUAGGCGGCCAGAUAAGUCCGCUGUGAAAUCUCGAGGCUCAACCUCGAGAUGUCGGCGGAAACCGUAUGGCUAGAGUCCGGAAGAGGAGAGUGGAAUUCCUGGUGUAGCGGUGAAAUGCGCAGAUAUCAGGAGGAACACCAACAGCGAAGGCAGAUCUCUGGGACGUUACUGACGCUGAGACGCGAAAGCGUGGGGAGCAAACAGG
rnacentral:rRNA from 1 species